CACCGCGAGGAGAAUCGGAAGGAAGCUAAGGACAAAAGUCUGGCUCCACGCACAGAAACUUGAUACAAGGCUAAAGUAUGUGGAUAAGGUGGCCAAAAGCACUGAAGUCCUAUAACUAUCCGGAACAUACAUAGUAAAUCAAGCAGACAUAAGAUGGAAAGACAG
rnacentral:ncRNA from 1 species